UAGGGAAUCUUCGGCAAUGGACGGAAGUCUGACCGAGCAACGCCGCGUGAGUGAAGAAGGUUUUCGGGUCGUAAAGCUCUGUUGUAAGAGAAGAACGAGUGUGAGAGUGGAAAGUUCACACUGUGACGGUAUCUUACCAGAAAGGGACGGCUAACUACGUGCCAGCAGCCGCGGUAAUACGUAGGUCCCGAGCGUUGUCCGGAUUUAUUGGGCGUAAAGCGAGCGCAGGCGGUUAGAUAAGUCUGAAGUUAAAGGCUGUGGCUUAACCAUAGUACGCUUUGGAAACUGUUUAACUUGAGUGCAAGAGGGGAGAGUGGAAUUCCAUGUGUAGCGGUGAAAUGCGUAGAUAUAUGGAGGAACACCGGUGGCGAAAGCGGCUCUCUGGCUUGUAACUGACGCUGAGGCUCGAAAGCGUGGGGAGCAAACAGGAUUAGAUACCCUGGUAGUCCACGCCGUAAACGAUGAGUGCUAGGUGUUAGACCCUUUCCGGGGUUUAGUGCCGCAGCUAACGCAUUAAGCACUCCGCCUGGGGAGUACGACCGCAAGGUUG
rnacentral:rRNA from 1 species